CCUACGGGCGGCAGCAGUGGGGAAUAUUGGACAAUGGGCGAAAGCCUGAUCCAGCCAUGCCGCGUGUGUGAAGAAGGCCUUCGGGUUGUAAAGCACUUUCAGUGGGGAAGAAAGCCUUGGGGCUAAUACCCUCGAGGAAGGACAUCACCCACAGAAGAAGCACCGGCUAACUCCGUGCCAGCAGCCGCGGUAAUACGGAGGGUGCGAGCGUUAAUCGGAAUUACUGGGCGUAAAGCGCGCGUAGGCGGUCUGAUAAGCCGGUUGUGAAAGCCCCGGGCUCAACCUGGGAACGGCAUCCGGAACUGUCAGGCUAGAGUGCAGGAGAGGAAGGUAGAAUUCCCGGUGUAGCGGUGAAAUGCGUAGAGAUCGGGAGGAAUACCAGUGGCGAAGGCGGCCUUCUGGACUGACACUGACGCUGAGGUGCGAAAGCGUGGGUAGCAAACAGGAUUAGAUACACUGGUAGUC
rnacentral:rRNA from 1 species